rnacentral:rRNA from 1 species
GACGAACGCUGGCGGCGUGCUUAACACAUGCAAGUCGAACGGAAAGGCCCUGCUUUUGUGGGGUGCUCGAGUGGCGAACGGGUGAGUAACACGUGAGUAACCUGCCCUUGACUUUGGGAUAACUUCAGGAAACUGGGGCUAAUACCGGAUAGGAGCUCCUGCUGCAUGGUGGGGGUUGGAAAGUUUCGGCGGUUGGGGAUGGACUCGCGGCUUAUCAGCUUGUUGGUGGGGUAGUGGCUUACCAAGGCUUUGACGGGUAGCCGGCCUGAGAGGGUGACCGGCCACAUUGGGACUGAGAUACGGCCCAGACUCCUACGGGAGGCAGCAGUGGGGAAUAUUGCACAAUGGGCGGAAGCCUGAUGCAGCAACGCCGCGUGCGGGAUGACGGCCUUCGGGUUGUAAGCCGCUUUCGCCUGUGACGAAGCGUGAGUGACGGUAAUGGGUAAAGAAGCACCGGCUAACUACGUGCCAGCAGCCGCGGUGAUACGUAGGGUGCGAGCGUUGUCCGGAUUUAUUGGGCGUAAAGGGCUCGUAGGUGGUUGAUCGCGUCGGAAGUGUAAUCUUGGGGCUUAACCCUGAGCGUGCUUUCGAUACGGGUUGACUUGAGGAAGGUAGGGGAGAAUGGAAUUCCUGGUGGAGCGGUGGAAUGCGCAGAUAUCAGGAGGAACACCAGUGGCGAAGGCGGUUCUCUGGGCCUUUCCUGACGCUGAGGAGCGAAAGCGUGGGGAGCGAACAGGCUUAGAUACCCUGGUAGUCCACGCUGUAAACGGUGGGUACUAGGUGUGGGGUCCAUUCCACGGGUUCCGUGCCGUAGCUAACGCUUUAAGUACCCCGCCUGGGGAGUACGGCCGCAAGGCUAAAACCCAAAGGAAUUGACGGGGCCCCGCACAAGCGGCGGAGCAUGCGGAUUAAUUCGAUGCAACGCGUAGAACCUUACCUGGGUUUGACAUGGAUCGGGAGUGCUCAGAGAUGGGUGUGCCUCUUUUGGGGUCGGUUCACAGGUGGUGCAUGGCUGUCGUCAGCUCGUGUCGUGAGAUGUUGGGUUAAGUCCCGCAACGAGCGCAACCCUUGUUCACUGUUGCCAGCACGUUAUGGUGGGGACUCAGUGGAGACCGCCGGGGUCAACUCGGAGGAAGGUGGGGAUGACGUCAAGUCAUCAUGCCCCUUAUGUCCAGGGCUUCACGCAUGCUACAAUGGCUGGUACAGAGAGUGGCGAGCCUGUGAGGGUGAGCGAAUCUCGGAAAGCCGGUCUCAGUUCGGAUUGGGGUCUGCAACUCGACCUCAUGAAGUCGGAGUCGCUAGUAAUCGCAGAUCAGCAACGCUGCGGUGAAUACGUUCCCGGGGCU